UAACAUUGUACACAUCGAAAAUGUUCGUGAGGCUCGUACCAAAAAAAAAUGGUAAAGUUUUUGUGUGAAGGACACUUGUUAUCGAUAACAUUGGGAUUAAAGUGCUAUGAAUAUUGAAAGGAAACAAGUAAAAUACAAUACAUUUGUAUCAUAAUUUGGAGAAUGGAUACGAAUAUGCCCGGUAUUAUCGAAUCCCUCGGCCAUUUUUUGCAAUCAAGCGUCAAUAUCAAAUCAACGUCAACCUUGCCAUCAACGCGUACCGUUCAAGUGGAAUGAAGGGUGAUUUGGACUGUCGACAGGAUACGGUUGCACCUAUACAUAGGACAUAUGAAAGCGGACGUCCUAGGCUAAAAUAUUUAUGCAAAACCCGGUUAGCCACACACAUAGAAAAACUGUAGAAGCGAAGUUUAAAGAGUGAAGCAGAAUCAGGCGCGAAACACUGAGGUUUUACUGCAUAAGGAAAAAGGAGAGUAUGAGUUCUUUUCAAUUUAAUAACUCUGUACAAAGUACUUUUCUUUUGUUCUAGUUAUUCCGAUCAACUCAGUUCAACAGGGAAAAACUUUAAUGACAACUAGUCAUCAUAUUAUGGAGCAAAAACAUGUUUCUCAACAAACGAUAAUCGUCCGAUGAUGCAACACGAUUUCGUCGAUUUUUGUUCUACAUCUACCCUGUAGAUCCGAAUUUGUUUGAAUAUUUAACAAGCGACAAAUUCGGUUCUAGAGAGGUUUGUGUGGGGCAUUUGUUUCCAUCAACCGUAAAACACUGCUUGGUAAACUAAUCGACGAAAUCAAAUGAAAUGAUCGUUUUUCAGAGAUGUAGCCAAGGCCGUUUGACCUUAUACAUGUUUGCACAAUCAAUAUCAGUUUCAAUGCUUUAAUUUAUAUAUAUACAUAGACAUACGAAAAAGCAUUACAAAAAUAUCAAUGAAGCGUGCAGAACAGUACUGCCGCUAAUCGCAAAUCGAGCACAUAUGUAGGUAGAUGGCAUCCAUGUACGUACAGCAGUUAACGGUUGGCGGCAGUGUAGAAAUAAUGCAAAUGUUCAGACAUACAUAAAUAAAGUAGAUGAUAAUAUAAAAAUCUUAAUAAUAA